rnacentral:rRNA from 1 species
UACGUAGGGUGCGAGCGUUGUCCGGAAUUAUUGGGCGUAAAGAGCUCGUAGGCGGUCUGUUGCGUCGGCUGUGAAAACCCGAGGCUCAACCUCGGGCCUGCAGCCGAUACGGGCAGGCUAGAGUUCGGCAGGGGAGACUGGAAUUCCUGGUGUAGCGGUGAAAUGCGCAGAUAUCAGGAGGAACACCGGUGGCGAAGGCGGGUCUCUGGGCCGAUACUGACGCUGAGGAGCGAAAGCGUGGGGAGCGAACAGG